rnacentral:rRNA from 1 species
CUAAGAAUAUUCCGCAAUGGACGGAAGUCUGACGGAGCGACGCCGCGUGGAUGACGAAGGCCGAAAGGUUGUAAAGUUCUUUUGCUGGGGAAGAAUAACCGCAGGAGGGAAUGCCUGUGGGAUGACAAGAACCGGCGAAUAAGCCCCGGCCAACUACGUGCCAGCAGCCGCGGUAACACGUAGGGGGCGAGCGUUGUUCGGAAUUACUGGGCGUAAAGGGCAUGUAGGCGGCUUGGAAAGCCUGGCGUGAAAGUCUGCAGCUUAACUGCAGGGGUGCGCUGGGAACUGCUGAGCUUGAGUGACGGAGAGGGAGCUGGAAUUCCUGGUGUAGGGGUGAAAUCUGUAGAUAUCAGGAAGAACACCGAUGGCGAAGGCAAGCUCCUGGCCGAUGACUGACGCUGAGGUGCGAAAGUGUGGGGAUCAAACAGGAUUAGAUACCCUGGUAGUCCACACAGUCAACGAUGUGCACUGGGUGCUGGGGCGGUAGCUUCGGUGCCGGAGCGAACGUGGUAAGUGCACCGCCUGGGGAGUAUGCUCGCAAGGGUGAAACUC